rnacentral:rRNA from 1 species
CCUACGGGAGGCAGCAGUGAGGAAUAUUGGACAAUGGGCGCAAGCCUGAUCCAGCCAUGCCGCGUGCAGGAUGACGGUCCUAUGGAUUGUAAACUGCUUUUGUACAGGAAGAAACACCUCUACGUGUAGAGACUUGACGGUACUGUAAGAAUAAGGAUCGGCUAACUCCGUGCCAGCAGCCGCGGUAAUACGGAGGAUCCAAGCGUUAUCCGGAAUCAUUGGGUUUAAAGGGUCCGUAGGCGGUUUAGUAAGUCAGUGGUGAAAGCCCAUCGCUCAACGGUGGAACGGCCAUUGAUACUGCUAAACUUGAAUUAUUAGGAAGUAACUAGAAUAUGUAGUGUAGCGGUGAAAUGCUUAGAGAUUACAUGGAAUACCAAUUGCGAAGGCAGGUUACUACUAAUGGAUUGACGCUGAUGGACGAAAGCGUGGGUAGCGAACAGGAUUAGAUACCCUGGUAGUCCACGCCGUAAACGAUGGAUACUAGCUGUUGGGAGNGAUACUCUAGUGCGUAGACGAAGUAGAGUAAGUAUACCACCGUACGGGAGGUACGGUUACGUCGAAGAAGUAGAACGUAACGAACGUAAGUAAGUUAGUACGGACGUAGAGACGUUACGACCGACGGACGACGACGAGGGAGGAGG